rnacentral:rRNA from 1 species
CUUUACUGUAACCUGGAAUUGGGUUCGGGCUUUGCUUGCGCAGGAUAGGUGGGAGACUAUGAAGCAAUCCUUGUGGGGGUUGCUGAGUCAACGGUGAGAUACCACUCUGUCAGAGCUAGAAUUCUAACUAAAUGCCGUUAUCCGGCUUUGGAACCGUAUCAGGUGGGCAGUUUGACUGGGGCGGUCGCCUCCUAAAAGGUAACGGAGGCGCGCAAAGGUUCUCUCAGGCUGGUUGGAAAUCAGCCGUAGAGUGUAAAGGCAGAAGAGAGCUUGACUGCAAGAGCUACAACUCGAGCAGGGUGGAAACACGGCCUUAGUGAUCCGACGGCACUGAGUGGAAGGGCCGUCGCUAAACGGAUAAAAGUUA